UUGCUUAAUAUCAUUCGAGUGGAUUCGUCCUCCUUAUGGGCCAAUUGGAUCAUCACCACUGUCUUGAAAGGGAGGAAUUUAUGGAAUUAUCAAGCCCCCUCAGAUUGCUCUUGGAUCUAGAAACAAGUCCUCAAGCUCAGGCAAACGGCUAGAAAUCAUGUUUCUUACAUUGUUGGCAAUGGCUCGAACACGAGUUUAUGGUUUGACCC
rnacentral:lncRNA from 1 species